CUCACCAAGUAUUACUUUAGUGAUAAAACAGUCAAAAAGAUGCAGAAAAUAAUAGAAUACAUAGUUAUAAUAAAUGAAUAAAAAGUAAUUAUGAUAAAUAGAAAAUAACAGCAACAGAUAAACCAAAUUUGGUGUGCUAAAUAAAUGAACAAGCGUGCUAUCACUUGCUGAAACAGUACUCUACCUAGAUAAGAACAACACUCUACCUAGAUAAG
rnacentral:misc_RNA from 1 species